CCUACGGGGGGCUGCAGUGGGGAAUCUUGGACAAUGGGCGCAAGCCUGAUCCAGCUAUUCCGCGUGUGGGAAGACGGCCUUCGGGUUGUAAACCACUUUUGUAGAGAACGAAAAGUCUGUUAAUAGUACCGAUAGAUGAUGACGUUACUCUAAGAGUAAGCACCGGCUAACUACGUGCCAGCAGCCGCGGUAAUACGUAGGGUGCGAGCGUUAAUCGGAAUUACUGGGCGUAAAGGGUGUGCAGUCGGGUUUGCAAGAUGGAUGUGAAAGCCCCGGGCUUAACCUGGGAAAGCCAUACAUGACUGGAAGACUAGAGUGCGUCAGAGGGAGGUGGAAUUCCAAGUGUAGCAGUGAAAUGCGUAGAUAUUUGGAAGAACACCGAUGGCGAAGGCAGCUUCCUGGGACGCAACUGACGCUCAUACACGAAAGCGUGGGGAGCAAACAGGAUUAGAUACCCGGGUAGUC
rnacentral:rRNA from 1 species